rnacentral:SRP_RNA from 1 species
ACAUGGACAAGUCCUGUACGGUCAGCUCCCUGUGAAUCCUCCAGGGCUUGACCGCAGCAAAGGCAACAGGUUGUAGCGACGCGAUGCAGUAAGCUUGUCCACC